GACGAACGCUGGCGGCGUGCUUAACACAUGCAAGUCGAACGGAAAGACCCUGCUUUUGUGCGGUUCUCGUUUGGCGAACGCGUGAGUGUCACGUGUGUAUCCUGCCCUUCUCUUUGGGGUAACUUCACGAAACUGGGGCUAAUAUCGUAUAGGAUAUCCCGCUCCACUGUGGGCGUUGGAAAGUUUCGGCGGUUGGGGAUGGACUCGCGGCUUAUCAGCUUGCUGGUUGGGUAGUUGCUGACCAAGCGUUUGACGGGUAGCCGGCAUGAGAGGUUGAACGGCGACAAGGGGACUGAGAGACGGAGCAGACGCGAACGGGAGGCAGUAGGCGGGAAUAUGGCACAAUGAGCGGGAGUGUGUGGCAGCGACGCUGGGUGCGGAAAGACGGCCUGCGGGGUGAAAACCGCUGUCGCCUGAGACGAAGCGGGAGUGACGGUAAUGGGUAAAGAAGCACCGGCUAACUACGUG
rnacentral:rRNA from 1 species